GAUGAAGAACGUAGUGAAAUGCGAUAAGUAAUGUGAAUUGCAGAAUUCAGUGAAUCAUCGAAUCUUUGAACGCACCUUGCGCCCUUUGGCCAUUCCGAAGGGCAUGCCUGUUUGAGUAUCAUGAACACCUCAACUCUCAUGGCUUGCCAUGAUGAGCUUGGACUUUGGGGGUCUUGCUGGCCUGUGGUCAGCUCCUCUCAAAUGAAUUAGCUUUCCAGUGUUUGGUUGGCAUCACAGGUGUGAUAACUAUCUACGCUUGUGGUUUCCACCAGGUAACCUUCAGUAACAUGGGGGUUUGCUGGAGCUCAUAAAUGUCUCUCCUCAGUGGGGACAGCUCUUUGAACGUUUGAUCUCAAAUCAGGUAGGACUACCCGCUGAACUUAAGCAUAUCAAUAAGCGGAGGA
rnacentral:misc_RNA from 1 species